rnacentral:tRNA from 1 species
GCCCCUGUCGUAUAAUGGACAGUACGCAAGGUUGCGGACCUUGAGAUCGGAGUUCGAUUCUUCGCAGGGGCG